GAAAAAUGUUUCUGUGGCUGCAAACCCAAAUUCUGUAGCCUUAUUUUCUUUAACAAGACCUGACGGAAGCGUAAGCUGCCCCACAGGAACGGAGGAGGCAUUCUAUUGCACAGAGUGCAGCUACAGGAUGGGUCCAACCCUGAAUGAGUUAACGAGUCCCUAACCCGACCUGACUGCCUAGAACACAAGGAUGAUCAAAAGCUCCACAGUUGCGCAGCCCAUUGCUAAAACGAAAAUCACUGUCCUGUGGCACGGGAUCCACAGGGUCACUCCUGCUCCCUUCCUCUCUCACUUUCCUUCCAGCUGUGCUUUCCUGCACUUGCCUGUGGUCUGCAAAAGUGUGGCCUGCAGGAAAGGACACUUCAGUGCUAGGCCACCACUCAAGUUGAGUUACUCAUACUUUAGUCCAUGCUUUACUGUUGUUUGAUGGUGCUGGAUAUUUGCUGGGCCUAGAUUAUAUAAUCUGGGCAUCAACAGAAAGUUCAGGAAGGAUUACCAACUUCUUUUCCCCCACCCCCUUCCCUAAUGGACUUAUGGCUUAAUGGACUCAGAAACACUUCGCUCUAAAUGAAGAUGAAUCUGAAUUACAGGUUUUUCUAUGUAUUGACAACAUACAUAUUGACAUCAACAAGUUUGGAGACAUGGAGUUUACUCAAAGUUUCAGAGCCCUGAGACCACUACUCAGAAGAUUAGAGGACAUGGUUGGCUUUUCCCCUGAGUGGACUCUGCUGGCUCUACGUCCCACUAAAGCAGCACCCGUCUCCCUGAACAGGAACAUGAUCUGCAUUCACAUGGGGUGCACCGGGACCAGGGUUAAAUGAGGACCUAGUGAGGAACAUAAGAGAAGCCUAAGGAGACAUGCUCCUAUCCUCCCACCAUGCCCACAUACUGCAAUUGCCAUACCAUCUAUUAUCACCAAAUUAGAAGUUUAAGUUUCAUCUCAUGAAACUACCUUCCUUAGGUAACCCUCUGCUGAGGCUGUUAAUUGCUGUUUCUUAAGAGCAAAUUCCUUGUGUGCUGAACAUCGUUCGGUCAGAUGAUCCACUCGUCUCUGAAUGCACCCCAUCAUCUCCUGGAUGCCAGUCACCCGAGAGCUGAACAGAACAAGCCAGCUGUUAGUGCACUCUGCCCGAUACGGAAGCCCCAGGAACAGGUUCUGUUUACAUGUUAGGUAUGAGUCAGUAAAAGUUAUCAGCUUUAGGAUAACAGAAGUUAAGUAGCUAUCAUCCUAUUAUAAUAGAGGGCAAAAACAAACUAUGUUCCUUUGUUUUAAGUCAGUCAGUCCCAAGGGGAAGAUGAGUUAUGGGUUUUUGCAACCGGGUCUAAUGUUUUCUGAAGGCUUCGUUUGAAUAUUUCUCUAAGACAGUUUGAGAACCUUAUGGCAAAAGGCUCGGUACAUUUGCCAAGAGUUUUCCUGAGGGUGUUAUUUAAAAGCUUCAUUUAUCUAAAGAUGCUAUUGGAAUAGAAAUGUGGAUUGGCCAAUUAACAAAGCAUUUACUAAUCCAAUAGGGUACAAUAUUUAUAUAACACCAAGGUCCUUGUUCUUUAUGAUUAUGAAUGCUCAAGGCUGUAUUCAUUAGAUGAAAACCAAGUUAUCACCAACCAUUAAGAAUCAAAUAUACUUGUUCCUGAAAAAAAAAACAAAAAACCGAACCUCACAUUACUAUUUUUUACCCGGGCUGGCCUCAUAAGAAAAAGAAAGUGACAUGAGAGCUCACAAAAUGAAAAUGCCUUUAAAACAAUGAGUGAACGUUGAGUUGGACCCCAGUUGCUCUAGUCUAAAGAUAUCUUAACAAGUCUCCUAAUCUGUUUCAAGUGAGGCGUGCUAGCAGUGCAAGACAAUGAAAGGACACUGUUGGUGGAAAUGAGCACUUUCUAAUUUUUCAACCUAUCUCCAAGCCAGUACCUAUCCUACUAUUUAAGAAACUGAAGUCUUUAAUUUCCCAUCAGUCAUUUCCUUCAAAUACUAAUAAAGAUUAACAUAGCUCUUAAAUUUAAUUACCCAGAGUUAAAAGAGAUCUUGGAAUGAGGUGUAGAUUUCAGUCAUUUAAAAUCAAAUAAUUAAUUUAUGACUUUGUAAAAAUGAAUUUAAUUAGUAAUGAAAUGAGGGCAAGCUCCUAAACCACGGCAAGGUAAAGUAACCUGACCAGAAUGACAAUUAGGCUGCUAAAGGGAGACACCCUCAGGUGUGUCUGUGGGCACCACAGGAGCCCCAGACAUGUCUAAUUGGGGGAAAAGAUAAAACCACUAUGAGAAAUCUUAUUUCUGGCACAUAACGUUGCACAGAAGUUACACUUAAAACAAUUAGUUUUGCAUUUUAAUACUCAGAGACAGUGAAGAGUAUAAUCAAGACAUCAGGAUAUUUUUAGAAACUAUUUUUAAUGAUACUUAAAUCCACAAAUUCUAUAAAAGCUAUGUAUUGAUAAUACUAAUCAUAUUUUGACUAGGUUUUAAACUUUGAGAUAUAUGCUAAAAAGGCACUUAAAAACCCAGCUGUCAUAUAUAUAUAUACUAUAGGUUCCAAGUUUUCUGUAGCAUAUGGAAAUCUGGAAUGAGAAAGAUGUAGUGAAUUAGUGGCACUAUGGAAAGAAGGUACAGAGGACAAAGCUUGUGAAAGGAAAUGGGCAAACAUGGUAGAAAGGAAAUAUAACUGUAAAUGGCAGAAAACACCAUUACUGAAAUAGAAGGAAUUUGGAGAUGAUCACUAAAGUUCAAAGAGAUAAAGUGGAAUUGGAUAAAGAACUGCAUCAACCAAGAUGAAAGAUGCCCACUCCCACCUCUGAGUUGUCUUAUGUGGUCCCACCAGAAUGCCCUCUGCACCCACUGCAGGCAGGGGCUAUUUCACUAACCAGACUUAGAAUAGGGGCCUCUCUGACCCCAGGGAGGUAUAGCUGGGAGGAGAGUACAAAUUUUGAAUAGGCUGCUCCCUAGAGGAAACCAGUCUUCAGUAACCAAGUCCAGCCAAGCCUCUUGGCUCCUGUUCAUGUCACUCUUUUUACUCUGUGGCCUUCUCCAAAGAGUAUGGCUGUCAGCCAGCUUCUUAGGCUUCUCCGUAAGUUCCAGCAUGUCUUGAGUACCAGAGCUCAGACCUGCUCUCUGAUUCUGACCUAAGCUUGCUCUAGCAUCCCCACCCCCUCUCAAACUUCCCCGUCGAAACCCUAUUUUGUCUUAAUUAUGGUGCUCCAACCCAACACGCACACUAAAUGCAGCCUCCUCCUUGGCCAUUCAAAUCUAAAGUGAGCUCUCUCUCCUCUAAAAUGAUGUCAGUCAAUUGCAUAGUGCCAUGGAAAAUGUGGACUGUGGAUUUACACUUUGCAUAUAAGAUCUUAAUAAUAGCUACUUUUAAUAAAUUCUUGCAACAAACACGUCUCUUUGUUAAGUGCAUUGCAUGCAUUAUUUCAUAGAAUCCUUAAAAAACUUCAUUAAGUAUCAAAAAGGUAUCAAUAACUCCAAUUUUUGGCCAAUGGAACUGAGGCUCCAGAGGUGAGAUGGGUUGCCCUAGAGACACACAAAUAAGCAAAGUCAGGUUUCCUUG